rnacentral:misc_RNA from 1 species
UUGAAUUUUAAUGAAGAGUUUGGUUGUAGCUGGCCCAUUCAUUUGGGCAUGUGCACACCUUCCUCUUUCAUCCCACACACACCUGUGAACCUGUGAGACAGAGAUGGGGAAUUUACUUGCUGCUUUUUGGAAUACAAAGGCAAUAGGUUAAUGGACCCCCCCUCUGUCUACUCAAUUAAUAUAAACUCAAUUUAUUUUAAAACGAAUGUAAUGGAUGUAACACAUCUCAUAC